UACGGAGGGUGCAAGCGUUGCUCGGAAUCACUGGGCGUAAAGCGACCGCAGGCGGCCUGACAAGUCGGAUGUGAAAGCCCUGGGCUCAACUCAGGAAUUGCAUUCGAAACUGGUAGGCUUGAGUACGGGAGAGGGGGGUGGAAUUCCUGGUGUAGGGGUGAAAUGCGUAGAUAUCAAGAGGAACACCUGAGGUGAAGACGGGUUGCUGGGCUGACACUGACGCUGAGGCGCGAAAGCCAGGGGAGCAAACGGG
rnacentral:rRNA from 1 species